ACUGUGUUGUGUGGCCAGAGGACCUGGGAAAGGUAUGGCCUAGGGUUUGUCUGGAUUUGUUUUACAGCGGCAGACACCUGGGUGCAGCAGACUAUCACCAUGACACAGAGGGGGAUGGACCAUUUCUCAGAUGGACGACUGUGAGGAGCAGGGUGUGGAACUGACGCAGCUGGAUAAACACACACGUGUCUAGGACACCAACCACGUCAUACCGGUCACCUCCACAAUUCGAACUGACUUCAGAGAAGACCCGCUGACAAGUGGAUAGUGAGACCAUUUCCUGAAGACAAGAGACCACCAACUAUCACACUUGACGCAUGAAAAUAGUGAGUUGGGGGCCUUCCUCCCUCCUCUCUUCUUCCUUCUGCUAUCACCUGCCACC